UCCUUGAAUAAAACAUAAUUUUAUGACACUGCUAUUUAUUUUUUUUUAUCUCAUCCAGGCACAAAAUGUAAAAAAACUAACACAACAUAAGCAAAUUACAUUAUAUCAAGUUUUUUUCCUCAGAAUAAAACAAUUUUUUUUAUCUCAUUCAGGCACAAAAUGUAAGAAAAAUCAGUUUUUUUUCACGUGUUCAGACAGUGUUUUAAGUGUGCAGUGUCUCUCAGCUCGGCUCCAAAAGUUUGCUUUAAAAAUGUGGAGAUUUUCAGUGACCUCUUUAGUGGGACAAAGGAGGCUGCGGAUCGAUUCGUUACACCUUUUUAAAGCGAGGCUUGUGGUGGUGAAGAGGGAGGGGCUCUGAAUCCACAAGAGGCUCCAUUAACAGCCUCCAUACUCCGUCCUAUAACUAUUAUCCACCAUAAAGUGUUUAUAAAAGGGCACACAAGUGGGCUAAUGUUUAUCUCAAAAUGAGACUGCUUGAUUUACUGCUGGAGAGGAUUGAGAGGAAGAAGAAGAAGAGAAGAAGGGAACAAAGUUUGUUUUUUAUUACUGAGUGAUAGAAUCACAGCAUAACUUGGAUGGCAUCAUCAUGCGCAUCUUCCUUCAUCUGUGGCCACUUUAAGGGACGUUAUUCAGCCAUCUACAUCGGAUCCUUUACAAGAAACAAGGAUUACAAACUGUCUUCAAACACGUCCUGAUUCUGGUCUGACGUGACCGUCUACAAAGAGAGGAGCUGUUUAUACGAUCUACUGGGUCGUACUGCAAAAAGGAGCUCUGCAGGUUGUCAAAUGAGGUAUUGGGUGUCUGCCAUGUGGAGACUGUGCUUCCAAGAUGAACUACAGAAACUCGUUCCAGGAAGUUCCCCAAACGGCAAAUGUUGACACUGAGGUGGCAAAAGCCCUCUAGCGGCCGUUGAAAUUAUGUCGGGAGCAAAGGAGGAAGUCAGGUUAUGUUAUUAUUGAGCAACAAUGUCAAUAAAAAGUUCCCAU